rnacentral:rRNA from 1 species
CUUUCGGGGGGCAUGUGCACGUCCAAGCCGUUUAAAUCAACCCCUUGUGAACUCACCGUAGGCCUUCGGGCUUAUGUAUCAUAUAUAUAUAUACUCAGAUCAUAGAAUGUACGUUUUGCCUUUAAAAAAAAAAAGCAAUCAAAUACAACUUUCAACAACGGAUCUCUUGGCUCUCGCAUCGAUGAAGAACGCAGCGAAAUGCGAUAAGUAAUGUGAAUUGCANAUUUUCAGUGAAUCAUCGAAUCUUUGAACGCACCUUGCGCUCCUUGGUAUUCCGAGGAGCAUGCCUGUUUGAGUGUCAUUAAAUCCUCAACCCCGUCCGUCGGUCAGGGCUUGGACUUUGGAGCGUGCUGGCGAAGGUCGGCUCCUCUUUAAAUGCAUCAGCGGAGAAAAACAAACCUUUUCCCCCCUUCAGCGUGAUAACUGCGUUGCGCUGUGGUCGCGAAAGGGUCCGCUCAUAAUUGUCCUCGGACAAACACCAAAUCUGUUUUGACCUCAGAUCAGGUAGGACUACCCGCUGAACUUAAGCAUAUCAAUAAGCGGAGGAAAAGAAACUAACAAGGAUUCCCCUAGUAACUGCGAGUGAAGCGGGAAAAGCUCAAAUUUAAAAUCUGGCGGUCCUCUGGCCGUCCGAGUUGUAAUCUGGAGAAGCGUUUUCCGCGUCGGACCGUGUACAAGUCUUCUG